rnacentral:rRNA from 1 species
AUUGAACGCUGGCGGCAGGCCUAACACAUGCAAGUCGAACGAGUGGCGGACGGGUGUGUAAUGUCUGGGAACCUGCCUGAUGGAGGGGGAUAACUACUGGAAACGGUAGCUAAUACCCCAUACCAUCAGAUGUGCCCAGGUGGGAUUAGCUUGUUGGUGGGGUAAUGGCUCACCAAGGCGACGAUCCCUCGCUGGUCUGAGAGGGUGAGCGGCCACACUGGAACUGAGACACGGUCCAGACUCCUACGGGAGGCAGCAGUGGGGAAUAUUGGACAAUGGGCGCAAGCCUGAUGCAGCCAUGCCGCGUGUAUGAAGAAGGCCUUCGGGUUGUAAAGUACUUUCAGCGGGGAGGCGUUACCCGCAGAAGAAGCACCGGCUAACGCCGUGCCAGCCGCCGCGGUAAUUC